rnacentral:rRNA from 1 species
UACGUAGGGUGCGAGCGUUGUCCGGAAUUAUUGGGCGUAAAGGGCUCGUAGGCGGUGUGUCGCGUCGGCCGUGAAAACCUGCAGCUUAACUGUGGGCUUGCGGUCGAUACGGGCAUCACUGGAGUUCGGCAGGGGAGACUGGAAUUCCUGGUGUAGCGGUGAAAUGCGUAGAUAUCAGGAGGAAUACCGGUGGCGAAAGCGACUCUCUGGACGGCAACUGACGCUGAGGCACGAAAGCGUGGGGAGCAAACAGG